rnacentral:rRNA from 1 species
CAUGCAAGUCGAACGGUAACAGGAAGAAGCUUGCUUCUUUGCUGACGAGUGGCGGACGGGUGAGUAAUGUCUGGGAAACUGCCCUGAUGGAGGGGGAUAACUACUGGAAACGGUAGCUAAUACCGCAUAACGUCGCAAGACCAAAGAGGGGGACCUUCGGGCCUCUUGCCAUCGGAUGUGCCCAGAUGGGAUUAGCUAGUAGGUGGGGUAACGGCUCACCUAGGCGACGAUCCCUAGCUGGUCUGAGAGGAUGACCAGCCACACUGGAACUGAGACACGGUCCAGACUCCUACGGGAGGCAGCAGUGGGGAAUAUUGCACAAUGGGCGCAACCCUGAUGCAGCCAUGCCGCUGUGUAUGAAGAAGGCCUUCGGGUUGUAAAGUACUUUCAGCGGGGAGGAAGGGAGUAAAGUUAAUACCUUUGCUCAU